rnacentral:tRNA from 1 species
CCUUCGAUAGCUCAGCUGGUAGAGCGGAGGACUGUAGAGGCUCAUGGCCAUCCUUAGGUCGCUGGUUCAAUUCCGGCUCGAAGGA